AUUGAACGCUGGCGGCAUGCUUUACACAUGCAAGUCGAACGGUAACAGGGAGCUUGCUCCGCUGACGAGUGGCGAACGGGUGAGUAAUGCGUCGGAACGUGCCGAGUAGUGGGGGAUAACGCAUCGAAAGGUGUGCUAAUACCCCAUACGAACUGAGGUUGAAAGUGGGGGACCUUCGGGCCUCACGCUAUUCGAGCGGCCGACGUCUGAUUAGCUAGUUGGUGAGGUAAAGGCUCACCAAGGCGACGAUCAGUAGCGGGGCUGAGAGGAUGAUCCGCCACACUGGGACUGGGACACGGCCCAGACUCCUACGGGAGGCAGCAGUGGGGAAUUUUGGACAAUGGGCGCAAGCCUGAUCCAGCCAUGCCGCGUGUCUGAAGAAGGCCUUCGGGUUGUAAAGGACUUUUGUCCGGGAGCAAAUGCUGGUGGCUAACAUCCACCGGAGCUGAGAGUACCGGAAGAAUAAGCACCGGCUAACUACGUGCCAGCCGCCGCGGUAAAAC
rnacentral:rRNA from 1 species